rnacentral:rRNA from 1 species
UUAGGAAUCUUGCGCAAUGGGCGAAAGCCUGACGCAGCGACGCCGCGUGAGCGAAGAAGGCCUUCGGGUUGUAAAGCUCUGUCACCUGGGACGAAAUGUGCAACGGGGAAAGUUCGUUGCAUUUGACUGUACCAGGGGAGGAAGCACCGGCUAACUCCGUGCCAGCAGCCGCGGUAAUACGGAGGGUGCAAGCGUUGUUCGGAUUUAUUGGGCGUAAAGCGCGUGUAGGUGGUGGUGCAAGUCCGAUGUGAAAUCCUUGAGCUCAACUCGAGAACUGCAUCGGAUACUGCAUUACUAGAGUGUCGGAGAGGGUACCGGAAUUCCUGGUGUAGAGGUGAAAUUCGUAGAUAUCAGGAAGAACACCAGAGGCGAAGGCGGGUACCUGGACGAUAACUGACACUGAGACGCGAAAGCGUGGGGAGCAAACAGG